rnacentral:rRNA from 1 species
GAAUGGCACCACGAAGGUUAUACUGUCUCCUUUCCCCAAUCAGUGAAACUAAUCUCCCCGUGAAGAAGCGGGGAUAAAAAUAUAAGACGAGAAGACCCUAUGGAGCUUUAAACAACGCAGCAAUUGCUACCACUCUAAAAAGCCUCCGAGUCUCUAAUUUACCUUGGCACUUUGACAGCAAGUUUUAGGUUGGGGUGACCGCGGAGUAAAACAUAACCUCCACGCUGAAAGAAUUAUUCUGAGCCAAGAGCUACUAUUCUAAGCACCAACAUACUGACAUCUAUUGACCCA